GUGCAUCUGAGUCCGGUCGCGCUCCGCGUCUGGCAGCAAGUGAGUGGUAGCAGAUGCUGUGCGUUCUACGUAAAUCAGUCAGCACAGCUCAUCACGAACAAACGUAAUAUUGUUGUUGUUGAGUGUGCACAAACUCAACACAACAGUUACUGCAAAUCACAGAUGUUACAGAAUGAUGAGGUUGAAAGCAUCAUCCAAAACCCUCUCCACAAUGUCUGUUUGUGGUAGUGACACUGGAAGCAGGAAGGAAAAAGUUAAAAGUUUAAGAACACAAGAAAUAUCAAGGAGAGAAGCAGAGCAAAUGAACACUAAAUUUGAAAUUAAGCCCACAAAAGCUUGCAAGAACCAAACAGUCAAAGAAAGACAUGCAACCUCAGAAUGAGUGAGGUUCAAUUGUCCACAACAGAAAAGGUUUUGACAGAAGAGGCGCUACUAGGGGAAGUGUAACGACUACCAUCUGUUAUGGUAGCCAGAUUGAGAAGAAUGAAUGCAGGAGUAAGUAUUGGGAAUGAUGAUAAGAUAUGCAGAUGAUGUAGUGGUCAUGAGUGAAUGAAUCUACAGACAAGUAGCAAAAUUUGUUGUAUGUUGUGGAUGGGUAUGGAAAAGACUUCAGAAUUAGGUUUAGUAGUGAGAAAAGUAAGGUAAUUAUAGCAAAUAGGUCAUGGGAUGAAAGUAACACAGUAUGGAGAAUUGAAGAAAAUGAGUUGAAACAGGUGCAAGAAUAUAAGUCCUUGGGGAUGUGGGUGAGUCUGAAUGAGUUUUAAAAGGCAAAGAAUGAAAAAAGAUAAGAUUGGUGAACCAGUGGGUAGGAUAACAGGAAUGCAGCUUGAAUGAGAGCAAGUAAACAUGAUGUGUGAAAGAGUGUGGCCAUGCCCAGUAUAAUGUAUGGUAUGGAUAUGAAUGCAUGGAACAAAAGUGAAAUUGACAAGUUAAAAGUUGGGCAGAAUAGAGUAGCUAGAUGACAGGAAUGCAGCUUGAAUGAGAGCAAGUAAACAUGAUGUGUGAAAGAGUGUGGCCAUGCCCAGUAUAAUGUAUGGUAUGGAUAUGAAUGCAUGGAACAAAAGUGAAAUUGACAAGUUAAAAGUUGGGCGGAAUAGAGUAGCUAGAAUGGCACAGAGCGUACAAAGGUAACACAGUAGUAGAAGGUUUGAGAGGUGAAAUGGGAUGAAGCACCUUUAGGGAAAGACUAGUAAAUGCAACACUUAAGUAUAAGAUUGUUGGAGAGAAUGGACGAUGAAAGAACAAUGAGAAAUAUAUGUGGAGUGUAAGUGGAAGAGGUGCAUGAAAAUGACAGAGGAAUGGAUUACAAGUUGUAUGGUGGAUGAGAAUGGAUGGGAGGAAACAAAAUGAGACUGAAUGGAUCAUGCAUGACAAGAGGCAGUGGGAAACUGAAAAGGAUGUGAGGAAAUGGAAGAGUGAGAUAGACAGAAAGGUGAAGUGGGUGGGACUAAAUAAAUGGAAGAAUGAAACAAAAGAGUAGUGUCGAAUGGUACAAGAAAAGGAGGCUCCAAUGUAUGAGAGGUGAUAUGAUGGCAGCCUGGGGUAGUGAUCUCUUCCAAACUAGAACACAGUGUAUGGAUGUGAAUACAAGGAACUACACAUGGUAUGAGUCCUGCAGCAACAUGUGCCAAAUGUGUGACAUGGGAGAGGAUGAGUUAGUGGAGUAUGUUAGAAUGUGAGACGUGGUAUGAGAGAGGAGGGAGAUGAUGCAAGUUAAUUUGACUGAAUUAGGGCAUAAUAGGGCUGAAAGAGUAGAGAAGAUAGGAAGGGAAUGGAUGGGGGUUGCAGGUGGAACUGUGUAGAGAGAGAUGAGUGAAAGGAUGAUUGAGGCUGUGAUGAAGUUUCUGGAGAAAAUGUGGUAAUCUAGAUGUAGGGAUGAUCAGU
rnacentral:misc_RNA from 1 species